AUUGAACGCUGGCGGCAGGCCUAACACAUGCAAGUCGAACGAGUGGCGGACGGGUGAGUAAUGUCUGGGAAACCGCCUGAUGGAGGGGGAUAACUACUGGAAACGGUAGCUAAUACCGCAUACCAUCAGAUGUGCCCAGAUGGGAUUAGCUAGUUGGAGGGGUAACGGCUCACCAAGGCGACGAUCCCUAGCUGGUCUGAGAGGAUGACCAGACACACGGGAACUGAGACACGGUCCAGACUCCUACGGGAGGCAGAAGUGGGGAAUAUUGCAAAAUGGGCGCAAGCCUGAUGCAGCCAUGCCGCGUGUAUGAAGAAGGCCGUCGGGUUGUAAAGUACUUUCAGCGGGGAGGCGUUACCCGCAGAAGAAGCACCGGCUAACUCCGGGCCAGCAGCCGCGGUAAUAC
rnacentral:rRNA from 1 species